rnacentral:rRNA from 1 species
UACGUAGGGUGCAAGCGUUAAUCGGAAUUACUGGGCGUAAAGCGUGCGCAGGCGGUUAUGUAAGACAGAUGUGAAAUGCCCGGGCUUAACCUGGGAACUGCAUUUGUGACUGCAUGGCUAGAGUUUGGCAGAGGGGGGUAGAAUUCCACGUGUAGCAGUGAAAUGCGUAGAUAUGUGGAGGAACACCGAUGGCGAAGGCAGCCCCCUGGGUCAAGACUGACGCUCAUGCACGAAAGCGUGGGGAGCAAACAGGAUUAGAGUACCCGUG